GUGCCAGCAGCCGCGGUAAUACCGGCAGCCCGAGUGAUGGCCGCUGUUAUUGGGCCUAAAGCGUCCGUAGCUGGCCGCGCAAGUCCAUCGGAAAAUUCACCCGCCCAACGGGUGGGCGUCCGGUGGAAACUGCGUGGCUUGGGACCGGAAGGCGCGACGGGUACGUCCGGGGUAGGAGUGAAAUCCCGUAAUCCUGGACGGACCACCGAUGGCGAAAGCACUUCGAGAAAACGGAUCCGACAGUGAGGGACGAAAGCCAGGGUCUCCAACCGGAUUAGAAACCCGGGUAGUCC
rnacentral:rRNA from 1 species